rnacentral:rRNA from 1 species
AGGACGAACGCUGGCGGCGUGCUUAACACAUGCAAGUCGAACGGAAAGGCCCUGCUUUUGUGGGGUGCUCGAGUGGCGAACGGGUGAGUAACACGUGAGUAACCUGCCCUUGACUUUGGGAUAACUUCAGGAAACUGGGGCUAAUACCGGAUAGGAGCUCCUGCUGCAUGGUGGGGGUUGGAAAGUUUCGGCGGUUGGGGAUGGACUCGCGGCUUAUCAGCUUGUUGGUGGGGUAGUGGCUUACCAAGGCUUUGACGGGUAGCCGGCCUGAGAGGGUGACCGGCCACAUUGGGACUGAGAUACGGCCCAGACUCCUACGGGAGGCAGCAGUGGGGAAUAUUGCACAAUGGGCGGAAGCCUGAUGCAGCAACGCCGCGUGCGGGAUGACGGCCUUCGGGUUGUAAACCGCUUUCGCCUGUGACGAAGCGUGAGUGACGGUAAUGGGUAAAGAAGCACCGGCUAACUACGUGCCAGCAGCCGCGGUGAUACGUAGGGUGCGAGCGUUGUCCGGAUUUAUUGGGCGUAAAGGGCUCGUAGGUGGUUGAUCGCGUCGGAAGUGUAAUCUUGGGGCUUAACCCUGAGCGUGCUUUCGAUACGGGUUGACUUGAGGAAGGUAGGGGAGAAUGGAAUUCCUGGUGGAGCGGUGGAAUGCGCAGAUAUCAGGAGGAACACCAGUGGCGAAGGCGGUUCUCUGGGCCUUUCCUGACGCUGAGGAGCGAAAGCGUGGGGAGCGAACAGGCUUAGAUACCCUGGUAGUCCACGCUGUAAACGGUGGGUACUAGGUGUGGGGUCCAUUCCACGGGUUCCGUGCCGUAGCUAACGCUUUAAGUACCCCGCCUGGGGAGUACGGCCGCAAGGCUAAAACUCAAAGGAAUUGACGGGGCCCCGCACAAGCGGCGGAGCAUGCGGAUUAAUUCGAUGCAACGCGUAGAACCUUACCUGGGUUUGACAUGGAUCGGGAGUGCUCAGAGAUGGGUGUGCCUCUUUUGGGGUCGGUUCACAGGUGGUGCAUGGCUGUCGUCAGCUCGUGUCGUGAGAUGUUGGGUUAAGUCCCGCAACGAGCGCAACCCUUGUUCACUGUUGCCAGCACGUUAUGGUGGGGACUCAGUGGAGACCGCCGGGGUCAACUCGGAGGAAGGUGGGGAUGACGUCAAGUCAUCAUGCCCCUUAUGUCCAGGGCUUCACGCAUGCUACAAUGGCUGGUACAGAGAGUGGCGAGCCUGUGAGGGUGAGCGAAUCUCGGAAAGCCGGUCUCAGUUCGGAUUGGGGUCUGCAACUCGACCUCAUGAAGUCGGAGUCGCUAGUAAUCGCAGAUCAGCAACGCUGCGGUGAAUACGUUCCCGGGGCUUGUACACACCGCCCGUCAAGUCAUGAAAGUUGGUAACACCCGAAGCCGGUGGCCUAACCGUUGUGGGGGAGCCGUCGA